rnacentral:rRNA from 1 species
GAGCUGUGGAUAGGGGUGAAAGGCCAAUCAAACUUCGUGAUAGCUGGUUCUCUCCGAAAUGCAUUUAGGUGCAGCGUUGCGUGUUUCUUGCCGGAGGUAGAGCUACUGGAUGGCCGAUGGGCCCUACAAGGUUACUGACGUCAGCCAAACUCCGAAUGCCGGUAAGUGAGAGCGCAGCAGUGAGACUGUGGGGGAUAAGCUUCAUAGUCGAGAGGGAAACAACCCAGACCACCAUCUAAGGUCCCUAAGCGCGUGCUAAGUGGGAAAGGAUGUGGAGUUGCUUAGACAACCAGGAGGUUGGCUUAGA